UUGCACCAAAAGCUUCACUGAGGAAGACAAGAACACAUGUACAAGCUUGUAGGACAUGGAUCAACCAUGUAGACGCCAUCAAGUAACGUACAGAACGCUGUUGAAGCUACGAUCUUUAUUGCUGGAGACGUAAACCAGCUUGACGUGGUGGAUAAGUAACGGAGAAAGCAGAAUGUCCAGCAAUACCAUCCUUGUCAUCCUGCUCCUGCUCAUGGGUUCUGGGCUUCUGGUCAGCGGACAGCCGAUGAUAUAUGAACCCACUGACUAUUUCGGAGGGGUCGGUGGAUCGGACGGGCUGCCAGUGUUCGGAGGCGCGGGGGCUGGCGAAGUUUUUGCAGAAGGGAUCAACUAUUUCGGACAAGGAGAAAUGCCACUCAAUAUCUUCUAAAGUUCAUGGAAUUUCAAAUGGAACUUGAGUGAGAUAUGUGAUGGAUUUUGAACUUUAAAUAUGCUGUUAACAAGUAUUUGAUAAUAUUGGCGUUUGCAAGAAAAACUUGACACGAAUGAAAUCCAAUACAAAUUUUUAUUUUUAGCAUGUAAUUCACGUUUUGCUUUAAAACUAAAUAUUUCAAGAGGUGUUGUUAUGAUUCCGAUGCCCAUUAUUCCAAUAAAACGUUUUAAGACCAUC